GUAAGGAUAGCAUAAAUUAGUGUGUUUUGUUUACACCAAAAAGGUAAUUGGUUGAUUUUCUUACU
rnacentral:tRNA from 1 species